CACGUAGGGCGCGAGCGUUGUCCGGAAUUAUUGGGCGUAAAGAGCUCGUAGGCGGCCUGUUGCGUCCGCUGUGAAAGCCCGGGGCUUAACCCCGGGUCGGCAGUGGAUACGGGCAGGCUAGAGGUAGGUAGGGGAGAAUGGAAUUCCCGGUGUAGCGGUGAAAUGCGUAGAUAUCGGGAGGAACGCCUGUGGCGAAAGCGGCUCACUGGACCACAACUGACGCUGAGGCGCGAAAGCUAGGGGAGCAAACAGG
rnacentral:rRNA from 1 species